UACGAACCGUCCGAACGUUAUUCGGAAUCACUGGGCUUAAAGGGUGCGUAGGCGGCGCGGAAAGUUGGGUGUGAAAUCCCUCGGCUCAACCGAGGAACUGCGCCCAAAACUACCGUGCUCGAGGGAGAUAGAGGAGAGCGGAACUUAGGGUGGAGCGGUGAAAUGCGUUGAUAUCCUAAGGAACACCGGUGGCGAAAGCGGCUCUCUGGAUCUCUUCUGACGCUGAGGCACGAAAGCUAGGGUAGCGAACGGG
rnacentral:rRNA from 1 species